rnacentral:rRNA from 1 species
GAGGCGGCCGACGCGGUCAGAUGGCGAUGGCGCAAGGCGCGGCGUGGCCGGGCGGAGCCGGCCACGGCCUGGCGCGGGCGGCACGCGAAGGCCGGGGAGCGGCGCUGACGCGGCCAGGAACGGCCACGACGCGGGCGAGCGUGGCCACGGCCGGCGACGAGGGCGCGAGGCGCGGCCGUGCGGCAAGUUUUGAGGCCUGGUGCUCUCGGUUACGAGCGUGCUGAUAACGUGUUUGAAGAUCAAAAUGAGAGAGACUCGAUCGAUGCAAAGCAGUAAUGAGAAAUAGAUGUCUUUAUUGAUGAGAGUGCUGCUAUUUAUACAGAGCCAAGGGACGCUUCUCAAUAGGCGCCCAUACAGGAGGAUGCGAGCAACCGUUGCGAUUGUUGCCAAAAGACAACUGCCGCCGGUUCCUAUAAAGCAGGGAUUAACCCAUUAAUUAAC